rnacentral:rRNA from 1 species
CAACUCUAUGCGGUGGAUCACUCGGCUCG